CUGAAGCUCACAAAGACGCAGCACUGAAACGCUGACCAUGGCAUCCCUGCUCAACAAAAGCCACAAAGAUAGAUGCCUAGUUGCCACUGCUGCAGUUUGUUUGGAAGUUUACAGUGAUGGAAGCAGUCCUGCUGUGGCCUUAAAGGGCAGAUGGAGUGACAGAGGGCACACACCUCAGGUCACGGCUGAUCUGGGACAUCUAGACUUCUGGUACUAAACACAGCCAAAAUGAUCCGAAAGGCACACUGGAAUGAUAAAUGUAUCGUUGAAUAUCGAUACAUUCGUAUGUAGAAUGCAAUGAAUAAAAGCAUGUUUAGACUCAAAUUAGGGCUGCAUGAUUUAGCCAGAAAUAAAUAAUCUUUUCAUCAUGAUAUUCUAAAACACCAACAAGAAACCUCUUGAAAGAUCUGAAUGCUCUGAGAGCUCAUUUACAGUACAUAUUGAUAAUAGUAUUGCAAAGGUCAAUACUAAGAUAAUGAUUAAUAAGCACUGUAUUGUGCAUCAUUUGUUCAAAAUAAUAUAUUUAAUAAGUGGAAAUAUCUUGAAUAUAGGCA
ensembl:lncRNA